rnacentral:rRNA from 1 species
AUGUCAGCCGACAAUGUUGCGGUGGACUGUAGCAAGGUGCAAGCGGUGGUGGACUGGCCAAUACCCAAGUCAGUGUGGGCACUUCUCGGCUUCCUUGGCUUCGCGGGGUACUACAGGAUAUUCAUCCAAAACUUGGGCACCACCGCGACACCCCUCAGAAAGCUCCUCAAGGAGGGUUACUGCUGGUCCAUGAAGGCCGACACUGCCUUUUAA